AGCUGGCUGGUACCAUGAGGUGACUUCUGCCCAGUGCUCUGAUUGUCAUGCAGAAGAGAUUCAUGCAAGCGCGGGUAAACGGCGGGAGUAACUAUGACUCUCUUAAGGUAGCCAAAUGCCUCGUCAACCAAUUAUUGACGCGCAUGAAUGGAUCAACGAGAUUCCUGCUGUCCCUAGGUGCUGUCCGGUGAACCAACAGCCAAGGGAACGGGCUUGGGCGUGUCAGCGGGGAAAGAAGACCCUGUUGAGUUUGACUCUAGUUUGAUGCUGUGCAGUGACAUGUGGGGUGUAGCAUAGGUGGGAGGCCAGUGCCAUCCGACUACCCACCACCUAUCUCAGCAGCCACCAGGAAUGUGUGUGCAUGUGAAAAGGAGGAAGCCUCGUGACAGAGAGCCAAGAUGGUGCAAACCAGCAAUGAAAUACCACUACCUUCACCGUCGCUUUACUCAUCGAGUGACUUGGGAACAGUGGCCAAUUGGACAUCAGUGCUUGCAAUCCUGUGGGUACUGCGGCCUCAUCCUGUUUCGUGAAUCAAGUGUGGCCAGCUUGCUGGCAGCAUGACCCUGUGGGUUCACACCCACCCUCAUUGGUGCCUCGGGACAAUGAUCAGUUGGGGAGUUUGGCUGGGGCGGCACGCCUGUUACAGGACAACGCAGGCGUCCUGAAGCAAUGCUCAGAUGGAACAGAAAUCUUGCAUGGAGGAGCAGGCCAAAGGUGCUGCUGAUGCGGCGGCUUCCAGUACAAGCCCAAAACGUGCAAACGUGGCCUUGCGAUCCUUUGGUCAAGUGUGCGGGUUCUGGAUAUUGAAGCCAGAGGUGUCAGAAAAAUUACCACAGGGAUAACUGGCUUGUGGCUGCCAAGCGUUCAAAGCGACGUCGCUUUUUGAUCCUUCGAUGUCGGCUCUUCCUAGCUUCCCACCCGCAGCCGAGUGGAAGAGUUGGAUUGUUCACCCACCAACAGGGAACGUGAGCUGGGUUUA
rnacentral:rRNA from 1 species